GGUUAAGCGACUAAGCGUACACGGUGGAUGCCCUGGCAGUCAGAGGCGAUGAAGGACGUGCUAAUCUGCGAUAAGCGUCGGUAAGGUGAUAUGAACCGUUAUAACCGGCGAUUUCCGAAUGGGGAAACCCAGUGUGUUUCGACACACUAUCAUUAACUGAAUCCAUAGGUUAAUGAGGCGAACCGGGGGAACUGAAACAUCUAAGUACCCCGAGGAAAAGAAAUCAACCGAGAUUCCCCCAGUAGCGGCGAGCGAACGGGGAGGAGCCCAGAGCCUGAAUCAGUGUGUGUGUUAGUGGAAGCGUCUGGAAAGGCGCGCGAUACAGGGUGACAGCCCCGUACACAAAAAUGCACAUGCUGUGAGCUCGAUGAGUAGGGCGGGACACGUGGUAUCCUGUCUGAAUAUGGGGGGACCAUCCUCCAAGGCUAAAUACUCCUGACUGACCGAUAGUGAACCAGUACCGUGAGGGAAAGGCGAAAAGAACCCCGGCGAGGGGAGUGAAAAAGAACCUGAAACCGUGUACGUACAAGCAGUGGGAGCCUCUUUAUGGGGUGACUGCGUACCUUUUGUAUAAUGGGUCAGCGACUUAUAUUCUGUAGCAAGGUUAACCGAAUAGGGGAGCCGAAGGGAAACCGAGUCUUAACUGGGCGUUAAGUUGCAGGGUAUAGACCCGAAACCCGGUGAUCUAGCCAUGGGCAGGUUGAAGGUUGGGUAACACUAACUGGAGGACCGAACCGACUAAUGUUGAAAAAUUAGCGGAUGACUUGUGGCUGGGGGUGAAAGGCCAAUCAAACCGGGAGAUAGCUGGUUCUCCCCGAAAGCUAUUUAGGUAGCGCCUCGUGAAUUCAUCUCCGGGGGUAGAGCACUGUUUCGGCAAGGGGGUCAUCCCGACUUACCAACCCGAUGCAAACUGCGAAUACCGGAGAAUGUUAUCACGGGAGACACACGGCGGGUGCUAACGUCCGUCGUGAAGAGGGAAACAACCCAGACCGCCAGCUAAGGUCCCAAAGUCAUGGUUAAGUGGGAAACGAUGUGGGAAGGCCCAGACAGCCAGGAUGUUGGCUUAGAAGCAGCCAUCAUUUAAAGAAAGCGUAAUAGCUCACUGGUCGAGUCGGCCUGCGCGGAAGAUGUAACGGGGCUAAACCAUGCACCGAAGCUGCGGCAGCGACGCUUAUGCGUUGUUGGGUAGGGGAGCGUUCUGUAAGCCUGCGAAGGUGUACUGUGAGGUAUGCUGGAGGUAUCAGAAGUGCGAAUGCUGACAUAAGUAACGAUAAAGCGGGUGAAAAGCCCGCUCGCCGGAAGACCAAGGGUUCCUGUCCAACGUUAAUCGGGGCAGGGUGAGUCGACCCCUAAGGCGAGGCCGAAAGGCGUAGUCGAUGGGAAACAGGUUAAUAUUCCUGUACUUGGUGUUACUGCGAAGGGGGGACGGAGAAGGCUAUGUUGGCCGGGCGACGGUUGUCCCGGUUUAAGCGUGUAGGCUGGUUUUCCAGGCAAAUCCGGAAAAUCAAGGCUGAGGCGUGAUGACGAGGCACUACGGUGCUGAAGCAACAAAUGCCCUGCUUCCAGGAAAAGCCUCUAAGCAUCAGGUAACAUCAAAUCGUACCCCAAACCGACACAGGUGGUCAGGUAGAGAAUACCAAGGCGCUUGAGAGAACUCGGGUGAAGGAACUAGGCAAAAUGGUGCCGUAACUUCGGGAGAAGGCACGCUGAUAUGUAGGUGAAGUCCCUCGCGGAUGGAGCUGAAAUCAGUCGAAGAUACCAGCUGGCUGCAACUGUUUAUUAAAAACACAGCACUGUGCAAACACGAAAGUGGACGUAUACGGUGUGACGCCUGCCCGGUGCCGGAAGGUUAAUUGAUGGGGUUAGCGGUAACGCGAAGCUCUUGAUCGAAGCCCCGGUAAACGGCGGCCGUAACUAUAACGGUCCUAAGGUAGCGAAAUUCCUUGUCGGGUAAGUUCCGACCUGCACGAAUGGCGUAAUGAUGGCCAGGCUGUCUCCACCCGAGACUCAGUGAAAUUGAACUCGCUGUGAAGAUGCAGUGUACCCGCGGCAAGACGGAAAGACCCCGUGAACCUUUACUAUAGCUUGACACUGAACAUUGAGCCUUGAUGUGUAGGAUAGGUGGGAGGCUUUGAAGUGUGGACGCCAGUCUGCAUGGAGCCGACCUUGAAAUACCACCCUUUAAUGUUUGAUGUUCUAACGUUGGCCCCUGAUCGGGGUUGCGGACAGUGUCUGGUGGGUAGUUUGACUGGGGCGGUCUCCUCCUAAAGAGUAACGGAGGAGCACGAAGGUUGGCUAAUCCUGGUCGGACAUCAGGAGGUUAGUGCAAUGGCAUAAGCCAGCUUGACUGCGAGCGUGACGGCGCGAGCAGGUGCGAAAGCAGGUCAUAGUGAUCCGGUGGUUCUGAAUGGAAGGGCCAUCGCUCAACGGAUAAAAGGUACUCCGGGGAUAACAGGCUGAUACCGCCCAAGAGUUCAUAUCGACGGCGGUGUUUGGCACCUCGAUGUCGGCUCAUCACAUCCUGGGGCUGAAGUAGGUCCCAAGGGUAUGGCUGUUCGCCAUUUAAAGUGGUACGCGAGCUGGGUUUAGAACGUCGUGAGACAGUUCGGUCCCUAUCUGCCGUGGGCGCUGGAGAACUGAGGGGGGCUGCUCCUAGUACGAGAGGACCGGAGUGGACGCAUCACUGGUGUUCGGGUUGUCAUGCCAAUGGCACUGCCCGGUAGCUAAAUGCGGAAGAGAUAAGUGCUGAAAGCAUCUAAGCACGAAACUUGCCCCGAGAUGAGUUCUCCCUGACCCUUUAAGGGUCCUGAAGGAACGUUGAAGACGACGACGUUGAUAGGCCGGGUGUGUAAGCGCAGCGAUGCGUUGAGCUAACCGGUACUAAUGAACCGUGAGGCUUAACCUU
rnacentral:rRNA from 1 species